GCCGGCCGGCUCGAGCGCGCGCCGGAGGAGAGGAGGUCGGCUGGAGGGGACCGACCAACGUCGUGGUGGUCUCGCCGGCGAGCGACGGGAGGAGGGCGGAGAUGAUGCGUAGGAGGGCGAGGCGGCUGUGUGCAGGAGGCUUCCCGACGGAUUGGGGAGACAGCGCGAGGCAUCUUCGACGGCAUGGGCCGGGGCGCCGUGCUUCCUCAGAUUCGCGUGUUGAGUGUGUGUCCAGUUUGUCGCUUCCCUCGACGUCGACGGCUCCAUGAUCAGUCGUGUUCUCUUCCUACUAAGCCAUGAUGAGAUUCACUUUUAUUUUAUAGAUCACCGAGUUCGCCGGCGGAAGAAGAACAUCUCUCGAGCCGUCCAAUGUUGCCUGCGGCGGCUACACCAGAGGUUCAGUUCACAAGAGCAACCAAAAAGGUUCCAGAUUCAUCUCAUGAUGAGGAGUGAGCAUGUGAAUUAAUGUGUGCAUGAAGCUAGACACAGUUCUUAUCAAGUGGGUCUGAAGGAGUUGGGCAGUGGGUGGUUCCCAUCACACUUUGCUGUUGUUCAUACUUGGUUCAGCGAAAGUUCUUUUUCCGUGGAAAACCGGAGGAUUUCAGUUUGUUAGUGCUCGUAGAAUGUCAAAGAAAGAUGGCAUAAGGAGGUUUAACCAAGAUGUCCUUUUGUUGGUUUUCCUGUGUAAUUAGCACUUACAAAUAUGGAGUACAGGUAGGAGAAUGCUACGGUUCUGCCUGCAUCUGAUGGGUGACGUGGCUCAGCCCAGCGGCUCUACAGAACCAUCAGAUAACCUAGGAUGAUCAUGCCUCUUUGCUAGAGAAGAUUGUAGCUUAUGAAGUUUGUGUCUGACUCGCCAUUAGAUCGUUCAAUAUGCUAUCUUGUGGUUUAAUUGAUGAUUUCUUUUUCUUAGUUUUCAGGCUGUGUAUACAAUCAGAAAUCUGAUAGACUGGAGAGAAGGCUAGGUGUUUGCCACAUUGUUUCGGCUACUUCCAUCUAGCGAUUCCAGAUUACUAAUACAGUGACAAUCCUUCAGAUUUAGGGGAUACAAUGUCGGAUUACAUUAUGUGGAUGUAUUGAAGGCAAAAAUUCUUGUGGUGGAGGUAUUACGUGCUACCACUUUAUCAGUACAUAACCAACUUCCAUUCUUUAUAAAUAGCAACAAGCAGUUUUCAUCUCCAAGCAUAUUCAAAAGCGAAAACAAUUCUUUGUAUUGUUUAUCAAAACUGUAUGAUGAGAUAGUUCAGAGUGUUGGGCUAAAAUUGGAGAACACAAGUUUAUCAGAAACAAUAAGAAUUUGUCAUCAAGGAUCUAAGAGCUCUGGAAAUAUGUUGUUCUCCUCUUUUGAUUCCCCUUUCAGUACAUAAGAUUGCAGACUCUGAUUUAUUAGUAUAAGGAUGAAAUUAACUUUAAAUACCAUAAUGCACCUCUGUUUGGUUGGAUUCAAAGUGCAAUAAUGUACAGAACAUUAACUAUUACUCCCUCCUUGCGGAAAUAAGUGAAGCUGUUUUAAUUCAAAAUCUAAAACAAUGUCACUUAUUUCCGGAUGGAGGGAGUAUAUGAUUUCUUUAUCUGGUUGCUGCAUCCCCUUUAUCCAUCAAAAUCAGUGUUCUACAAUGCUCAUUUAUGUUGGUUGGAAAGAGGAUCACAACAGAGGCACAAUAAACUGCCGGCAUAUUAACAUCAUAUUGGCAUAGUUGCAGUGUGAAAAUCUCUCGAGCUAGAUCUUAAGUAGGUUGUGCCUCUUUUGUUGCCCGGUGCAACGCACGGGCAUUUGCACUAGUAUUACUUGAAAUUCUUUUUGUGCUGGAAACGGGUGAAACUCGACUUGACAGUCAGUCAUCUUAGCUACUUGUUGAGGAGCUCUUCCUUUGCUCAUUCAUGUGGCCUACCACUGAGUACGUUGUUUAGUAUAUUUUUUCGUAAUUUUUAAAAUAUUGGUAGGAGGCACACUUUUGAUAUGUUAUAGCUCAAAUAAAUAAUGGCAACCACCAGAAACACCCCAACAAAUUCUGGUAUCAUCGUAAUAAUUGUAUCAACUACUACACGUGAAAGAUAGUGAUUAAUGCAUAAAACGACAUAGAAUGAACAACCAAGACCACUGUUAGUGGACCAUAAACGAGUGCAUGUGCUGAAAUUGAAUAACCAUAUACACACACUGGCCGAUAAAUGGCAAGAGAUGAGGUGCCUUCACAUUUACAAUGCCCAACUAUACACGCAAUCCGUGAUGUCAAACCAGCUUAGUUCUUAUUCCUGUAGAGACGAUGGACAUGCUUCAUGAAACAAUGACGGAGUGCGGACUGCACCAGAUCUUUGUUAGGUACCUAGGCUUGGAAGGCAUAGGAAAUUACUCUUCCGCAUCAUCUUAAUGUUACAUGACCAACUUGGUGCCUUCAACCUCCUUUAGGGGUGCUCAAAUGACGUGUAAAAGCCAGCUAGCCAGAGAACCCAAGAAAAAUAUUGACCUUGUCUAAACUGUUCUUGCUUAGACAUUGCAGUACAGCAGAUGUCAGGAGGUUUUUUGCUCUGCUUCCCCUGCCCAAAAGGCAUUUCUAGUGUUCUACUGUGUGAAAGAAUGACAUCAUGAUUCACGCACGACGUUUUGGAGAAGAAUUACUGGGUACUCUAGCAUGAUUAAUUAUUGUUCCGGUUAUUAGCACACCUAUGCUUGGUUCUUGGCAUUGCCAUGUGGUCGUUGGGGAACAGGUGGAGAUGGAAUCACCCGUUCGUUCUUUCGGAGACAGGCGAACAAAGCUACUGCCUUUCCUUUCUGACAUACUGGUGAUUUUAUCUACCGAAUUUUCCUCAGGAAAGAUGACGUUUUUUGAGUGUUUUUUUGUUCCAUGAAUGCACUACCCAUUGUAUAUAUGCAUAAGUACGUAAAUGUAGACUACUGAUACUGCAUUUGA